AAUGAGACGUAAAGAUCUCCGGGACUU
rnacentral:tRNA from 1 species